rnacentral:rRNA from 1 species
AUUGAACGCUGGCGGCAUGCCUUACGCAUGCAAGUCGAACGGCAGCACGGGUGCUUGCACCUGGUGGCGAGUGGCGAACGGGUGAGUAAUAUAUCGGCACGUACCUUAUCGUGGGGGAUAACGCAGCGAAAGCUGUGCUAAUACCACAUAAGCCCUAAGGGGGAAAGCAGGGGACCGUAAGGCCUUGCGCGAUUAGAGCGGCCGAUACCUGAUUAGCUAGUUGGUGAGGUAAAGGCUCACCAAGGCAACGAUCAGUAGCUGGUCUGAGAGGACGAUCAGCCACACUGGGACUGAGACACGGCCCAGACUCCUACGGGAGGCAGCAGUGGGGAAUUUUGGACAAUGGGGGCAACCCUGAUCCAGCAAUGCCGCGUGAGUGAAGAAGGCCUUCGGGUUGUAAAGCUCUUUUGUCAGGGAAGAAACAGCAGCUCUAAUACAGUAUGCGAAUGACGGUACCUGAAGAAUAAGCACCGGCUAACUACGUGCCAGCCGCCGCGGUAA